GCCUCUGUGGCGCAGUGGUAGUGCGCUUGUCUGUGACACAGGAGGUUCCGGGUUCGAAUCCCGACAAGGGCA